GGGUAUAGUUCAAUGGUAAAGUGCUUGCCUAGCAUGCACAAGAGGUCCUGGGUUUGAUCCCCAGUAUCUCA
rnacentral:tRNA from 1 species